rnacentral:rRNA from 1 species
AUUGAACGCUGGCGGCAGGCCUAACACAUGCAAGUCGAACGAGCGGCGGACGGGUGAGAAAUGUAUGGGACCCUCCCCGAAGGAGGGGGAUAACUACUGGAAACGGUAGCUAAUACCGCAUACCUUCAGAUGAACCCAUAUGGGAUUAGCUUGUAGGUGGGGUAACGGUUCACCUAGGCCACGAUCCCUAGCUGGUGUGAGAGUGUGACCAGCAACACUGGGACUGAGACACGGCCCAGACUCCUACGGGAGGCAGCAGGGGGGAUUAUUGCAAAAGGGGGGCAACCCUGACGAAGCCAUGCCGCGUGGAUGAAGAAGGCCUUCGGGUUGUAAAGUCCUUUCAGUAGGGAGGCGGUAACUACAGAAGAAGCACCGGCUAACUCCGUGCCAGCAGCCGCGGUAAUAC